UUAGUUGCUCAUGGCCGCUCUGACUUAUGUCGCCCUGUGUCAGCACAGCAUUAUGAACACUCACCGUAGAGUCGCUAGCAGGGAAUGCAAGGCUCACGUUUAAGCAGUGAGAGCAGUAAAAGAGGAGAAGAAAAUCUAUCAAGAACAAAACAAUUUCAAAGAAUAAACAGAGAUGGGUGUGCUAGCAGCAUCUAGAGAAUAUUCAUAUUUCAACAGUGUCAGAAGGCGAUGUUGAAUAGGUCAUAGACUGCUGUCUCAUUUUGUCUCCAAUGCUGCGGUGCCGGAGGUCUAAUCUACACUUCGUACACUUUCAGUUACAGGUUAAUAGGAGGGUCUCCACUCCACUCCAUUCUUGUGAUAUACCAUUCUGUAUAUUGGAAGCAUUCAUGUAACUUCACCUUUAUUGUUUGUGGGAUAACCUCAAUAAACAUCUCCCAAG